rnacentral:tRNA from 1 species
GUACCUGUGGUGUAAUGGUCAGCACGCUCGCCUCGCAAGCGAGCGGACCCGGGUUCGAUCCCCGGGCAGGGUGAAACU